AACAACUUCAGUUGUCCAGUGUUUGAUUUGUAAAAUUGUUUCAUGUACAGGACAAACUGGAGGCAAGGGACAUGACAA
rnacentral:pre_miRNA from 1 species